UACGUAGGGCGCAAGCGUUGUCCGGAAUUAUUGGGCGUAAAGAGCUCGUAGGCGGUUUGUUGCGUCGGCUGUGAAAUCCCGAGGCUCAACCUCGGGUCUGCAGUCGAUACGAGCAAACUAGAGUGUUGCAGGGGAGACUGGGAAUUCCUGGUGUAGCGGUGAAAUGCGCAGAUAUCAGGAGGAACACCGGUGGCGAAGGCGGGUCUCUGGGCAACAACUGACGCUGGAGGAGCGAAAGCGUGGGGGAGCGAACAGG
rnacentral:rRNA from 1 species